UGGGGAAUUUUGCACAAUGGGGGAAACCCUGAUGCAGCGACGCCGCGUGAUUUAGAAGGCCUUCGGGUUGUAAAAAUCUUUUGUAUAGGAAGAAAAUGACAGUACUAUACGAAUAAGGACCGGCUAAUUACGUGCCAGCAGCCGCGGUAAUACGUAAGGUCCGAGCGUUGUCCGGAAUCAUUGGGCGUAAAGGGUACGUAGGCGGGUAAGCAAGUUAGAAGUGAAAUCCUAUAGCUCAACUAUAGUAAGCUUUUAAAACUGCUCAUCUUGAGGUAGGGAAGGGAAAGUGGAAUUCCUAGUGUAGCGGUGAAAUGCGCAGAUAUUAGGAGGAAUACCGGUGGCGAAGGCGACUUUCUGGCCAUAACCUGACGCUGAGGUACGAAAGCGUGGGUAGCAAACAGG
rnacentral:rRNA from 1 species